rnacentral:misc_RNA from 1 species
AAAAGUGCCUAGGCCUCCCAAACUCAACUUUAUUGCCCGGCCUCGAAUUGUUUUAAUUGCAGAUUUUCUGAUUAAACACAAAUUUUACUUGGCAUUAUGGGUAGCCAAAACUCGGACGACGACAGUGGUUCAUCCGGUUCGAGUCGAAGUGGAAGCCGAAGUGUCACGCCGCAAGGAGGCAGUGCACCCGGAUCCCCACGCAGUCGUAAGUCGGGUAGUGGCAGCGAUCGUUCAAGAUCGGGGUCCAGGUCUUCCCGAUCCCGGUCUGGCUCAGGGUCCUCGCGUAGUGCCAGGUCCGGGUCUGCACAAAGCCGCUACAGCCAGCGGUCUGGCUCCGCUCGUAGUAAGAGAUCAAGAUCUGCUCACAGUCGCAGGUCGGGAUCUGCCCAUAGCCGUAAAUCUGGAACUCCGAAAUCUUUACAAAGUCACAAAUCGGGUUCGCCGCAAAGUCGCAAGUCAGGAUCGCCUCAUAGUCGUAGAUCUGGCUCUCCUCAAAGUCGCAAGUCAGGAUCGCCUCACAGCCGCAGAUCCGGCUCCCCCCACAGUCGUAGAUCCGGAUCUCCUAACUCCCAGAGAUCUGGAUCCGCUCAAAGUCGCAAAUCUGGUUCGGCACAAAGUGCCCGCUAUCGAUCCAGGUCUAAUAGCGGUACACACAAGGGUAGUGGCAACGAGGAAUCGCGGUCCAAUUCGCCCAAUCUUCAAAUAGACGAUGAGCGUGCCAAUUCCAAAAGCGGCAGUCGCAGCAAAAGUAGGAGCCGGAGUGGCAGUCGCACUUCCAGAUCACGCUCCAAGACGGGCACGCCGUCGCCCAAUAGAAGUCGUAGUCGCAGCGAAUCCGGGUCCGGCAGCGAUAUUGGUGCGUCCAAGAAGACACGCAAGGCAAGUGGCUCUGAUCGGCAGAAGAACAAGAGCAGCAGCGAUAGCGACAUGGAAGAAUCACCCACCAAAGCAAAGAAAUCACGGCUGAUCGACACUGACAGUGAGUCCGAUCAGGAUGAGGCAAAGAAAGCUCCCGCUGCGGCUGACAUAUUUGGAGAUGCCGAUGAUAUAAGUGACGAUGAGGAGGAGGCUGGACCAGCCACCAGAAAAUCCCCGGCACGCUCCAAAAGCCGAAGUCGCAGCAGGUCCCGCUCCCGCAGUCGUUCGAUGAGCCGUUCGCGUUCCCGGUCCAGAUCGGGAUCCCGCGAUAAAGUUGGGAGCCAAGUAGAACCGGCGCCCAAGGAGGAUGAGCCUGAACCGCUGCCGGAAACCCGAAUCGAUGUAGAGAUUCCGCGCAUCUCUGCAGACCUAGGAAAAGAGCAGCACUUCAUCAAGCUUCCCAACUUUUUAUCAGUGGUCACGCAUCCUUUUGAUUCUGAAACUUAUGAAGAUGAGAUCGAUGAAGAGGAGACAAUGGACGAGGAGGGCAGGCAGCGCAUCAAGCUUAAAGUGAGCAACACGAUCCGAUGGCGAGAGUUCAUGGACAACAAGGGCGACAUGGUGCGCGAGUCAAAUGCGCGAUUCGUGCGCUGGUCCGACGGCAGCAUGUCCCUUCACUUGGGCAACGAGAUCUUCGACGCCUACAGACAGCCGCUUCUAGGUGACCACAAUCAUCUGUUCAUCCGCCAAGGUACGGGUCUGCAAGGCCAGUCAGUCUUCAGGACCAAGCUAACUUUCCGUCCUCAUUCCACGGAGUCGUUCACGCACAAGAAGAUGACCAUGUCGCUGGCCGAUCGAUCCAGCAAGACCAGUGGCAUUAAGAUCCUGACGCAGGUGGGCAAGGAUCCCACCACGGACAGGCCCACGCAGCUCAAGGAGGAGGAGGCCAAGCUGCGUCAGGCGAUGCGCAAUCAGCACAAGGCGCAGCCCAAGAAGAAGAAACCGGGCGCGGGUGAACCGCUGCUUGGAGGCGGCACCUCGUCUUACCAGCACGAUGAUGGCAGCGAUGAUGAGAACGCCAUUAGUUUGAGUGCCAUCAAGAACCGAUACAAGAAGGGCUCUGGUGCCGGCCAGGCAGAGGUGAAGGCAUCUACCAUCUACUCGUCUGAUGAGGACGAGGGCUCCGACUUCGAAGCGCGUCGCAGCAAGAAGGUGGAUAAGGCCAAGGCCAGCAAGGCGCUGCGCGACUCCGACAGCGAAUCGGACGCAGGCAGCGUCAAGAGCGGCCAUAGUAAAAAGAGCGGUGGAGGAGGCAGCGCCAGCGGCAGCGACAACGAGGGCAGCCAAAAGAGCGGCGGCGGCAGCAGCAAGUCGGGCAGUGGAAGCGGCAGUGGCAGUGGCUCCGGCAGCGGUUCGGGCAGCGACAACGAUGAUUAGCUUUGUCUAGUCCACUUGCGUUCCUUGAUCACACCAAUAAAAGUAAUUUUUCAUUUUCACGCGCUGAAUUGCUUAAUCUUGCGGAAUUUGACUUCGCAAGUCCAUUGUUUAUUGGCCGAAAGUCGGCACCCAGAUGGCCAGUAUUUGUUUGGUCGAUAGAGUCAGUGGCAAAAAGCACUUAGGCAGAGCAAUUAGCUGUCCGUUGAACCGUGAUGCUGCAAGAUAUUUCCAAGUGCCCACUGAUGUUUGCCAUUAAAACACACGAGAUAUUUA